GACGAACGCUGGCGGCGUGCUUAACACAUGCAAGUCGAACGGAAAGGCCCUGCUUUUGUGGGGUGCUCGAGUGGCGAACGGGUGAGUAACACGUGAGUAACCUGCCCUUGACUUUGGGAUAACUUCAGGAAACUGGGGCUAAUACCGGCUAGGAGUUCCUGCUGCAUGGUGGGGGUUGGAAAGUUUCGGCGGUUGGGGAUGGACUCGCGGCUUAUCAGCUUGUUGGUGGGGUAGUGGCUUACCAAGGCUUUGACGGGUAGCCGGCCUGAGAGGGUGACCGGCCACAUUAGGACUGAGAUGCGGCCCAGACUCCUACGGGAGGCAGCAGUGGGGAAUAUUGCACAAUAGGCGGAAGCCUGAUGCAGCAACGCCGCGUGCGGGAUGACGGCCUUCGGGUUGUAAACCGCUUUCGCCUGUGACGAAGCGUGAGUGACGGUAAUGGGUAAAGAAGCACCGGCUAACUACGUG
rnacentral:rRNA from 1 species